rnacentral:lncRNA from 1 species
UUGUCUGUAAGCAUAGAAAACAAUGACAUCGCCUCAGUGACACACAUCACAGGCUGUGACGUUACAGAAAGAUACAUGUCUCCAUCCAUCGACCAGUUCAGAAUCAGAACACACAUAUGUACAUGACAAGUCUUAUCACGACGCAUUCAUAGAGCGAUAGGCGGUGACGCCAUGCCUAUACACAAUACUUUUUAGAUAUGCAUUAAAAAAGAUCGAGAUUUU